GGCCACAACCGUACCAUGUUGGAAACACCGGUUCACGUCUGAUCACCGAAGUUAAACACCGCUGGGCCCGGCUAGUACUUGUAUGGGUGACCGGCUGGGAAUACAGGGUGUUGAAACUU
rnacentral:rRNA from 1 species